rnacentral:rRNA from 1 species
CCCUUAGAUGGUCUGGGCGGCACGCGCGCUACAAUGAUGCAUUCAAAAAGUCUUCUGACCUUAGAAGGUUGGGUAUUCUCCAAAGUGCAUCGUGAUGGGAAUAGUUUAUUGCAAUUUUUAAUCUUGAACGAGGAAUUCCUAGUAAGUACAGGUCAUCAACUUGUGUUGAUUACGUCCCUGCCCUUUGUACACACCGCCCGUCGCUCCUACCGAUUGGGUGUGCUGGUGAAAUGUUCGGAUCGGCCGUUUGUCGCGGUUUCCGCGUCAUGUGGCUGAGAAGUUCAUUAAACCCUCCCACCUAGAGGAAGGAGAAGUCGUAACA